rnacentral:rRNA from 3 species
GAGUUUGAUCCUGGCUCAGAUUGAACGCUGGCGGCAUGCCUUACACAUGCAAGUCGAACGGCAGCACGGGAGCUUGCUCCUGGUGGGCGAGUGGCGAACGGGUGAGUAAUGCAUCGGAACGUAUCCUGGAGUGGGGGAUAACGUAGCGAAAGUUACGCUAAUACCGCAUAUUCUGUGAGCAGGAAAGCGGGGGACCUUCGGGCCUCGCGCUCUUGGAGCGGCCGAUGUCGGAUUAGCUAGUUGGUGAGGUAAAGGCUCACCAAGGCGACGAUCCGUAGCAGGUCUGAGAGGAUGAUCUGCCACACUGGAACUGAGACACGGUCCAGACUCCUACGGGAGGCAGCAGUGGGGAAUUUUGGACAAUGGGGGCAACCCUGAUCCAGCCAUGCCGCGUGAGUGAAGAAGGCCU